CCUACGGGAGGCAGCAGUGGGGAAUAUUGGACAAUGGGGGGAACCCUGAUCCAGCCAUGCCGCGUGUGUGAAGAAGGCCCUCGGGUUGUAAAGCACUUUCAGUGAGGAAGAACGCCUGGUGGUUAAUACCCAUCAGGAAAGACAUCACUCACAGAAGAAGCACCGGCUAACUCCGUGCCAGCAGCCGCGGUAAUACGGAGGGUGCGAGCGUUAAUCGGAAUUACUGGGCGUAAAGCGCGCGUAGGUGGCUUGAUAAGCCGGUUGUGAAAGCCCCGGGCUCAACCUGGGAACGGCAGCCGGAACUGUCAAGCUAGAGUGCAGGAGAGGAAGGUAGAAUUCCCGGUGUAGCGGUGAAAUGCGUAGAGAUCGGGAGGAAUACCAGUGGCGAAGGCGGCCUUCUGGACUGACACUGACACUGAGGUGCGAAAGCGUGGGUAGCAAACAGGAUUAGAUACCCCUGUAGUC
rnacentral:rRNA from 1 species